rnacentral:sRNA from 21 species
GUAGGUUAUGAGUUCCCGAUAGGAUUCACGCCAGACGUGAAGAAGCCUUGUAACCUAAAAAAUAUAUAGGGGGAAAUAAAAUG